UUUAUCAAAGGUUACUCUCUACUCAGCACUAGAAUGGCUUAGUAAAGCUGGGGCAUCCUGGUCAAGUACAUGUCCUAAUUUUUUUUGAUAUCAAGAUAAUCUUUAGAUUUUUAAGCCAGUCUUUAAACUUGGUUCCAAUCAAACGAUUGAACUCCAGGAUGUGGGUUAAAGGGUUUGAAGCUGACAUAGUUUAACUGUGAAAGUAGAGAUUCAAGUUAGACAUUUGUACUUAAAUUUUAUAUUUAUCCUAAAGACUUUAAGAAGCAAGCAUGCUCCCACUAUUUUUUCGAAUCCCUACAUAUCCUGGGUGGAGAAGCAAAAAUUCUAAUGCGACAAUUGGAUUUCUAGUGGGUAUUGCGGUCCUACCGAUGUCGUGUAUCUCACCUAACAUAUAUGGGUAAUAUGUACAUCAAUGCGUGGAUAACUCCUUGUUUAGAUGCUUCUCUAAGCAUGUUGCAGUGACUUAGUCUCUAAGUCAUGUAGGUUCACCUGAUAAAUAUUGACCACACUUCUUAGUUAAGCCCAAUCUAUUAUUUAUAAGUAGGUACAAAGCCAUCAUUAGGCCUCUUACCUGAUAGAUAUUGGGCCCAAUCCUACCCUUACCUUGGAGCAACUUUUUUCUAAUAGAGUGGUUGCAUGCUCCC
rnacentral:lncRNA from 1 species